GACGAACGCUGGCGGCGUGCUUAACACAUGCAAGUCGAACGAAGUGGCGAACGGGUGAGUAACGCGUAAUCCACCUGCCCUUCAGUGGGGGACAACAGUUGGAAACGACUGCUAAUACCUCAUACUGAAGGUGGGGAUUUCGUCUGAUUAGCUAGUUGGAGGGGUAACGGCCCAAGAAGGCGAUGAUCAGUAGACUGUCUGAGAGGAUGAACGGCCACAUUUGGACUGAGAAACGGCCCAGACUCCUACGGGAGGCAGCAGGGGGGAAUCUUCCGCAAUGGACGAAAGUCUGACGGAGCAACGCCGCGGGAGGGAUGACGGCCUUUGGGUUGUAAAGCUAUGUUAAUCGGGACGCGGUACCGGAAGAGAAAGCCACGGCUAACUACGUGCCAGCAGCCGCGGUAAUUC
rnacentral:rRNA from 1 species